GGGGAAUUUUCCGCAAUGGGCNCAAGCCUGUACGGAGCAACGCCGCGUGUAGGGNAGUCAGGCCUCUGGGCUGUAAACCUCUUUUCUCAAGGUAAGUCAGUCUCUGACGGUACUUGUAGGAAUCAGCAUCGGCUAACUCCGUGCCAGCAGCCGCGGUAAUACGGAGGAUGCAAGCGUUAUCCGGAAUGAUUGGGCGUAAAGCGUCCGCAGGUGGUUUAUCAAGUCUGCUGUCAAAGAGUUUGGCUCAACCAAAUAAAGGCAGUGGAAACUGACAGACUGGAGUGCGGUAAGGGCAGAGGGAAUUCCUGGUGUAGCGGUGAAAUGCGUAGAGAUCAGGAAGAACACCGGUGGCGAAAGCGCUCUGCUGGGCCGUAACUGACACUGAGGGACGAAAGCUAGGGGAGCGAAUGGGAUUAGAUACCCCAGUAGUC
rnacentral:rRNA from 1 species